rnacentral:rRNA from 1 species
AUUGAACGCUGGCGGCAUGCUUUACACAUGCAAGUCGAACGGCAGCGCGGGCUUCGGCCUGGCGGCGAGUGGCGAACGGGUGAGUAAUGCAUCGGAACGUGCCCAGUAGUGGGGGAUAGCCCGGCGAAAGCCGGAUUAAUACCCCAUACGACCUGAGGGUGAAAGCGGGGGACCGAAAGGCCUCGCGCUAUUGGAGCGGCCGAUGUCGGCUUAGCUAGUUGGUGGGGUAAAGGCUUACCAAGGCGACGAUCCGUAGAUGGUCUGAGAGGACGACCAGCCGCACUGGUACUGAGACACGGCCCAGACUCCUACGGGAGGCAGCAGUGGGGGAUUUGGGACAAUGGGGGCAACCCUGAUCCAGCGAUGCCGCGUGCGGGAAGAAGGCCUUCGGGUUGUAAACCGCUUUUGUUCGGGAAGAAAUCCUCUGGGCUAAUACCACGGGGGGAUGACGGUACCGGAAGAAUAAGCACCGGCUAACUACGUG